rnacentral:rRNA from 1 species
AACGAACGCUGGCGGCAUGCCUAACACAUGCAAGUCGAACGAGAUCUUCGGGUCUAGUGGCGCACGGGUGCGUAACGCGUGGGAAUCUGCCCUUUGGUUCGGAAUAACAGUUGGAAACGACUGCUAAUACCGGAAGAUGACGAAAGUCCAAAGAUUUAUCGCCAGAGGAUGAGCCCGCGUAGGAUUAGCUAGUUGGUGUGGUAAAGGCGCACCAAGGCGACGAUCCUUAGCUGGUCUGAGAGGAUGAUCAGCCACACUGGGACUGAGACACGGCCCAGACUCCUACGGGAGGCAGCAGUGGGGAAUAUUGGACAAUGGGCGAAAGCCCGAUCCAGCAAUGCCGCGUGAGUGAAGAAGGCCUUAGGGUUGUAAAGCUCUUUUACCCGGGAUGAUAAUGACAGUACCGGGAGAAUAAGCUCCGGCUAACUCCGUGCCAGCAGCCGCGGUAA